AAACGAAAUCACUUUUAUCUGGGGCCUGCAAAGGGCAAAGCUUUAUCUGUUUAUACAUUCAGGAAAAAAUUUAGCUUUCAGGCUCCAUUUUUUUUGUCACAAAAAGAUGUUUCAUUACCCAAACUAAGUGACAUCAUCUGUGCUGUUGACCCAGGUGAACCUCCUGGUGGCCCACGGGGUGUCAAACUGGUGGUCCACAGACUGGAUGCACCAAGUACAGGCCACGCCUACCCCUGGCUCAGUGAAGGCAAAGAAGUUGCGUUUGACACCCCUGCUCUAAAAGAAUGCAAAUGACCAGCUGUCUGCAAGGAAUAAAAAUGCUUCCAUUCCCCACCAUCUAGUCAGAGCUGAAGAAUCUUCUUAGAUGAGAAGUGAAAUGUCUUCAAAGAAAAAGCAAGAACAUCUAGUUGCCUCCUGAAAAAGCACCUUUGGGUUAUAACCAGAUACAUCUUCAUUCUGUGCCUCACUUCUUUUCCUUUACAGGUCAAAUAUAAUCUAUCAUAACUGACAUGAACAACACUGUGAGAGAAGAUCUUUUCAAUGCAUUGAAUGACCUCCUUGAGAACCAAUUUCAAGAUUUUAAAUGGUGGCUAAAGGAUAUUGACUACAAUGGAAAGUCAAACAUUCCUAUAGCUCAUUUGGAAAAGGCUAAUCAGCGAGAUGUUGUAGAUCUCCUGAUUCAGCAUUAUGGAGAAGAUGCUCGACAGGUGUGCAUUCAUGUCCUUCAAAAAAGCAAUAUAAAUGAUGUUGCUAGAAAACUUGAGGAAAUUUUACAGAAAGGUAAGAAAAUUGAACAUAUUACAAAAAAGUUCUCCCAUAUAAGAUCAACUAGAAAUAAAUACCAAUUGUGGUUUGGGGAGUUGUCUCCACUGAAUUGUGUCAACUAAUUCAUUGAUGUUGACUACGAUUGGCAGUGGGUCCCUGGGAUUUCAGAGAGGAACUUUCCUUCUAGCCUGACUUUCCUUUUAAUCUACGACCUGAAAUCAAACCUAUGGGAACUUCUAUCACUCAAUUUGGCACUUUCCUGUCACUGAAAAAACAAAAGAAAAGAGUUAA